GUUAGGAGUAAUCAUCCUAACUAGACUUGGAGGGGGAAGCAUGAGGCAGGCAGGCAGUUAGAACAGUCAGGUAUGCACAUGGUGUGAGCAGUCAGGUGUGCACACAGUGUGAGCAGUCAGGUGGGCACACUGUGUGAGCAGUCAGGUGUGAACACAGUGUCAGCAGUCAGGUGGGCACAGUGUGAGCAGUCAGGUGGACACAUGGUGUGAGCAGUCAGGUGGGCACACGGUAUCAGCAGUCAGGUGGGCACACUGUGUCGGCAGGCAGGAACCAUUGAGAGAGGGUGAAGACAUGCACAAAACAUUCAAGGCAAAGCCAAGUGGCUAACAGAGAGACUAGAACUUGAGUCAGUAUCUUAUGUGCCUCCCGAUGUAAGAAUGAACAGGCAGGUAAAGCUGAGCGUGGUGCUGCAUAUGGAAAGAGCACCGUGUCUGUAAAGAAUUAACCAGAACAAAACAGCCUAGAGACACUGAAGUGACAUCAUGGGAGCACAGUGCUAACACCCGCAGCAGAUACAU